rnacentral:rRNA from 1 species
CCUACGGGCGGCAGCAGUAGGGAAUAUUGCUCAAUGGUGGAAACCCUGAAGCAGCAACGCCGCGUGGAGGAUGAAGGUUUUCGGAUUGUAAACUCCUUUUGUUAGAGAAGAAAAUGCCGGUACCUGACGAAUAAUCACCGGCUAACUCCGUGCCAGCAGCCGCGGUACUACGGAGGGUGCAAGCGUUACUCGGAAUCACUGGGCGUAAAGCGCGCGUAGGCGGGAUAGCAAGUCAGAUGUGAAAUCCUAGGGCUUAACCAUAGAACUGCAUUUGAAACUGGUAUUCUAGAGUAGGGGAGAGGUAGGUGGAAUGCGUGGUGUAGGGGUGAAAUCCGUAGAGAUCAAGAGGAAUACUGAUUGCGAAGGCGACCUGCCGGAACAUAACUGACGCUGAGGCGCGAAAGCGUGGGGAGCAAACAGGAUUAGAUACCCCAGUAGUC